AUGAACGCUGGCGGCGUGCCUAAUACAUGCAAGUCGAGCGAACAGACGAGGAGCUUGCUCCUCUGACGUUAGCGGCGGACGGGUGAGUAACACGUGGAUAACCUACCUAUAAGACUGGGAUAACUUCGGGAAACCGGAGCUAAUACCGGAUAAUAUAUUGAACCGCAUGGUUCAAUAGUGAAAGACGGUUUUGCUGUCACUUAUAGAUGGAUCCGCGCCGCAUUAGCUAGUUGGUAAGGUAACGGCUUACCAAGGCGACGAUGCGUAGCCGACCUGAGAGGGGGAUCGGCCACACUGGAACUGAGACACGGUCCAGACUCCUACGGGAGGCAGCAGUAGGGAAUCUUCCGCAAUGGGCGAAAGCCUGACGGAGCAACGCCGCGUGAGUGAUGAAGGUCUUCGGAUCGUAAAACUCUGUUAUUAGGGAAGAACAAAUGUGUAAGUAACUAUGCACGUCUUGACGGUACCUAAUCAGAAAGCCACGGCUAACUACGUG
rnacentral:rRNA from 1 species